rnacentral:rRNA from 1 species
CCCUUAGAUGUCCGGGGCCGCACGCGCGCUACACUGAAGGAAUCAGCGUGGCUUUCUCCCUGACCCGAAAGGGUUGGGAAACCCGUUGAAUCUCCUUCGUGAUAGGGAUUGGGGCUUGAAAUUGUUCCCCAUGAACGAGGAAUUCCCAGUAAGCGCGAGUCAUAAGCUCGCGUUGAUUACGUACCUGCCCUUUGUACACACCGCCCGUCGCUACUACCGAUUGAACGGUUUAGUGAGGGCCUCGGAUUGGUCUCGGCCCGCUCUUUACCGGGCGGCGCCGUUGGUCGAGAAGACGCUCGAACUUGAUCGUUUAGAGGAAGUAAAAGUCGUAACA